CCAAAUCUUCCAAAACCUAACCCUCAACCCCUACCACGCCGCCGCCGUCGCCACCAACCACUCGACCGCAGAGCCGGCUUCGUCCCCAAACACAGUCGUCGCCGACCGCCUAGUCGUCGCCGAGCACCCUUCUCUACCAAGGAAACCCUUCGUAGCUUCAUUCCCAUCCCCCGCGCACCCAGCGCCUGCUUCCUCCCGAGGAAAGCCGCCGACCGCCCUCCAUACCCACCACAACAACGACCUCCUCCACAGGUUUCCUCCGCCGAGCAGGCCUCCUCCUCCUCAAGCUUUCUCCCCCGAGCAGGGCCACCUCCUCCACGAGCAUCCUUCCCUAAGCACUAAGUUGGGUCGCCUCUGUUUCCCUCACCCGAGCAGCGGGCCUUCCUGUACGGCCCCUCUCCCGAGAAGCUCCACCUCCUCUACAUCCUCCCCCAGGUGCAGCGCCGCCUCCUUGCUCACCGAGAGCACUUGGCCGCUGAGAGUGACUUAUAAGUUCAUGGCAAAAGCAGCAACACGAGUACGCAACCACAAGUAAGCUGAGGAGUUACCUUUGAGUUGAUAUACAUUUUACUGUCUCGAGAUUCUUUUGGCAUCCCUGAACAGUUUCCGCUGAUCCAAAUUAUCACCCCUCAUGUUAUGGGCCUCAAAGAGCAGCUGAAAGAGUAAUUUAAGGUGCAAGUGGAUAAGUCUAGCAAAUGCAGUAAUGUGACCACAAGCAAGUUGAGGAGGUUUCUCAAGAUACACAAGUUGAUGGAGUUUUGGAAGAUCUACAAGUUGCUGAGGUUUUGAAGGUCUGACAAGUUGCUGGAGUGAUGAUAUAUAUGUAAUAUGUCUUGUUUGUUGAACCUCCAGAUAUUGACAGGUUUUACACUACUCAUUUUGGUGGUUGUUUCAGCAGACAAGCCAUUGUAUGCCAAUUUUGGUUGCGUGGCACGAUUUCUUUACCUUAAACAUAUGUACUUUGCAUUUUGAGGCAUAUAAUGUCUAUAUAUGUACGGUUCAUGCAUGUGUUAAAAACA